GAAACGUACCUCGUGAGGGUGCCUGACGGUACUGUAGGAAUAAGCACCGGCUAACUCCGUGCCAGCAGCCGCGGUAAUACGGAGGGGUGCGAGCGUUAUCCGGAUUUAUUGGGGUUUAAAGGGUCCGUAGGCGGAUUAAUAAGUCAGUGGUGAAAUCCCAUCGCUUAACGAUGGAACUGCCAUUGAUACUGUUAGUCUUGAAUGAGGGUGCAGUGGUUGGAAUGUGUAGUGUAGCGGUGAAAUGCAUAGAUAUUACACAGAACACCGAUUGCGAAGGCAGAUCACUAACCCUAAAUUGACGCUCGAGGGACGAAAGCGUGGGGAGCCGAACAGGAUUAGACUACCCCUGGUAG
rnacentral:rRNA from 1 species